rnacentral:sRNA from 1 species
CCCACGGCUCACGCCGUGGGCUAUAAUCUGCCGCUCCUGCCGGGGCU